rnacentral:SRP_RNA from 1 species
GCUGGGCUUGGUGGUGCGUACCUGUAGUCCCCGCUACUCGGGAGGCUGAGGUGGGAGGAUCGCUUGAGCCUAGGAGUUCUGGGCUGUAGUGCGCUAUGCCUAUUGGGUGUCCGCACUAAGUUUGGCAUCAAUAUGGUGACCUCCUGGGAGCAGGGGACCACCAGGUUGCCUAAGGAGAGGUGAACCGGCCCAGGUCGGAAACGGAGCAGGUCAAAACUCCCGUGCUGAUCAGUAGUGGGAUCACGCCUGUGAAUAGCCAUUGCACUCCAGCCCGGGCUACAUAAUGAGACCUGUCUCU